AUCCUCCGGGGGCGGGGCCCGGGCCGCAUUGUCUCGUCUAGGGCCGGCUGGACGCCCCAGAGGCCGGACCUGGGCAACCCCAGCCUGGAGGUGCCGGGGCCGGAGCUCCCAGAGGGCUGGGUGCGAGGCCUAGGCGGGGUCAGGUUCGGGUUCCUAGGCCAUAGCGGAGCUGCAGCCCAGGCGGCCGGAGCGGAACCCAGCCCCGCUCCGAGUGCCACGUCUCCAGGAACCCCCUCCUUACUCUUGGACAACACUCCGCCCCCGCCCGGGCCUCCGUCCCCCAAACCGCCCUCAUUUGUGCAGCGCCAGAUCCUUCGGACACAUCCCUAGGUGUCUCCAUCCUCAUUCGGUCCAUCCAACUCCCAGACCUCACGUCAACCGGCUGCACCCCACUUUCCAGCCUGCGCCCCAGAUCUGCAGCCUUCGCCCCUAGAUACACCCGCCUGGUGAUGAGGCGCUCCUCGCGUUCCUUCCGGUAACCGCGUUGCGAAGACCACGCUGCCGGGUUGCAAACUUGGGGGGACUUCCUCCCUCCCCUCCCCCUGGGCGCCGUGCAACUGCCCUGGGACCGGGUUCUGGGAUGAGGGGGGCAGACCGGGCUCCCCAGCGGCCGGCGCAGCACGUAGCGCACGUGUAGGGUCCGCUCCCCACCCCCUCGCCGCCUCUGACAACUUUUCAGGGCUCCAGGUGUCCGUGAGCCUCCCUUCCGCCCUGGCCUCCGGUCUCUGCCUUGCUCGUGCUUCUACCACCACCCUUCCCCUCCCAACCCGGUGGAUCCUCUCGUCUCCCCCAGUCUCCAGUGCACCGGCUUUCCCUCGUCCUCUGCGCAGUCCAUCUCAGCUCAUCUCUCCAAUUCAAUGCCAUCAUCUCUCCUCACCAUCUCUCGGUGCCCUGGAAUGUUUGCUGUCAGAUGUCCCCUGUGAAACCCACAAACGCUUGCGAUUUGGCCUCCUUGUUUUAUUUUGUGUAGUCCUACAACGUCUUGUUACUACCCCCUAUUACAACACUUAUAACUCAG
rnacentral:lncRNA from 10 species